GACGAACGCUGGCGGCGUGCUUAACACAUGCAAGUCGAACGGAAAGGCCCUGCUUUUGUGGGGUGCUCGAGUGGCGAACGGGUGAGUAACACGUGAGUAACCUGCCCUUGACUUUGGGAUAACUUCAGGAAACUGGGGCUAAUACCGGAUAGGAGCUCCUGCUGCAUGGUGGGGGUUGGAAAGUUUCGGCGGUUGGGGAUGGACUCGCGGCUUAUCAGCUUGUUGGUUGGGGAGUGGCUUACCAAGGCUUUGACGGGUAGCCGGCCUGAGAGGGUGGCCGGCCACAUUGGGCCUGCGAUACAGCCCAGACUCCUACGGGAGGCAGCAGUGGGGAAUAUUGCACAAUGGGAGGAAGCCGGAUGCAGCAACGCCGCGUGCGGGAUGACGGCCUUCGGGUUGUAAACCGCUUUCGCCUGUGACGAAGCGUGAGUGACGGUAAUGGGUAAAGAAGCACCGGCUAACUACGUG
rnacentral:rRNA from 1 species